rnacentral:rRNA from 1 species
UAGAGCGGCGGACGGGUGAGUAACACGUGGACAAUCUGCCCCCCGGUCCGGGAUAGCCCAGGGAAACCUGGAUUAAUACCGGAUGAGACGGGACCCGCGGAGGCGGGAUCCGGGAAAGGCGCUGCGGCGCCGCCGGGGGAUGAGUCUGCGUCCCAUUAGCUAGACGGCGGGGUAACGGCCCACCGUGGCGACGAUGGGUAGCCGGCCUGAGAGGGUGGACGGCCACAUUGGAACUGAGACACGGUCCAGACUCCUACGGGAGGCAGCAGCUAAGAAUCUUCCGCAAUGGGCGAAAGCCUGACGGAGCGACGCCGCGUGAACGAAGAAGGCCGUGAGGUUGUAAAGUUCUUUUCGGGAGGGGGAACAACCGUGGCAGGGAAUGGCCGCGGGAUGACGUGAAUCCCGGAAUAAGCCCCGGCUAACUACGUGCCAGCAGCCGCGGUAACACGUAGGGGGCGAGCGUUGUUCGGAAUCAUUGGGCGUAAAGGGCGUGCAGGCGGUCCUGCAAGUCCGGCGUGAAAGACCCCGGCCCAACCGGGGGGACGCGCU